UACGUAGGGUGCGAGCGUUAAUCGGAAUUACUGGGCGUAAAGGGCGCGUAGGCGGCCUGCUAAGUCGAACGUGAAAUCCCUGGGCUCAACCCAGGAACUGCGUCCGAUACUGGCAGGCUUGAAUCCGGGAGAGGGAUGCGGAAUUCCAGGUGUAGCGGUGAAAUGCGUAGAGAUCCGGAGGAACACCAGAGGCGAAGGCGGCCUACUGGGCUGCACCUGACGCUGAGCCGCGAAAGCCAGGGGAGCGAACGGG
rnacentral:rRNA from 1 species